UACGUAGGGGGCUAGCGUUGUCCGGAAUCAUUGGGCGUAAAGCGUCUGCAGGUGUCUUGGUAAGUCUGGUGUCAAAACACGAAGCUCAACUCCGUGUACGUGCCGGAAACUACCGAGAUUGAGUCACUCAGAGGCAUCUGGAAUGUCGUGUGUAGGGGUAAAAUCCGUAGAUCCACGAUGGAACGCCAAAAGCGAAGGCAGGAUGCUGGGAGUGCACUGACACUCAGAGACGAAAGCGUGGGGAGCAAAGGGG
rnacentral:rRNA from 1 species